rnacentral:rRNA from 1 species
AACGAACGCUGGCGGCAGGCCUAACACAUGCAAGUCGAGCGAGAUCUUCGGGUCUAGCGGCGGACGGGUGCGUAACGCGUGGGAAUAUGCCCUUCUCUGCGGAAUAGCCUCGGGAAACUGAGCGUAAUACCGCAUACGCCCUUUGGGGGAAAGAUUUAUCGGUGAAGGAUGAGCCCGCGUUGGAUUAGGUAGUUGGGGGGGUAACGGCCUACCAAGGCGACGAGCCAUAGCUGGUUUGAGAGGAUGAUCAGCCACACUGGGACUGAGACACGGCCCAGACUCCUACGGGAGGCAGCAGUGGUGAAUCUUAGACAAUGGGGGCAACCCUGAUCUAGCCAUGCCGCGUGAGUGAUGAAGGCCUUAGGGUUGUAAAGCUCUUUCAGCUGGGAAGAUAAUGACGGUACCAGCAGAAGAAGCCCCGGCUAACUCCGUG